CCUACGGGUGGCUGCAGUGUGGAAUAUUGGACAAUGGGCGAAAGCCUGAUCCAGCCAUGCCGCGUGUGUGAAGAAGGCCUUCGGGUUGUAAAGCACUUUCAGUGGGGAAGAAAGCCUUGGGGCUAAUACCCUCGAGGAAGGACAUCACCCACAGAAGAAGCACCGGCUAACUCCGUGCCAGCAGCCGCGGUAAUACGGAGGGUGCGAGCGUUAAUCGGAAUUACUGGGCGUAAAGCGCGCGUAGGCGGUCUGAUAAGCCGGUUGUGAAAGCCCCGGGCUCAACCUGGGAACGGCAUCCGGAACUGUCAGGCUAGAGUGCAGGAGAGGAAGGUAGAAUUCCCGGUGUAGCGGUGAAAUGCGUAGAGAUCGGGAGGAAUACCAGUGGCGAAGGCGGCCUUCUGGACUGACACUGACGCUGAGGUGCGAAAGCGUGGGUAGCAAACAGGAUUAGAUACCCGUGUAGUC
rnacentral:rRNA from 1 species